rnacentral:rRNA from 1 species
GACGAACGCUGGCGGCGUGCUUAACACAUGCAAGUCGAACGGAAAGGCUCUGCUUUUGUGGGGUGCUCGAGUGGCGAACGGGUGAGUAACACGUGAGUAACCUGCCCUUGACUUUGGGAUAACUUCAGGAAACUGGGGCUAAUACCGGAUAGGAGCUCCUGCUGCAUGGUGGGGGUUGGAAAGUUUCGGCGGUUGGGGAUGGACUCGCGGCUUAUCAGCUUGUUGGUGGGGUAGUGGCUUACCAAGGCUUUGACGGGUAGCCGGCCUGAGAGGGUGACCGGCCACAUUGGGACUGAGGUACGGCCCAGACUCCUACGGGAGGCAGCAGUGGGGAAUAUUGCACAGUGGGCGGAAGCCUGAUGCAGCAACGCCGCGUGCGGGAUGACGGCCUUCGGGUUGUAAACCGCUUUCGCCUGUGACGAAGCGUGAGUGACGGUAAUGGGUAAAGAAGCACCGGCUAACUACGUG